UCCUACGGGAGGCAGCAGUGAGGAAUAUUGGACAAUGGGCGAAAGCCUGAUCCAGCCAUGCCGCGUGCAGGAAGAAUGCCCUACGGGUUGUAAACUGCUUUUGUUAGAGAAGAAACCCCGGGACGUGUCCCGGGCUGACGGUAUCUUUCGAAUAAGGACCGGCUAACUCCGUGCCAGCAGCCGCGGUAAUACGGAGGGUCCAAGCGUUAUCCGGAUUCAUUGGGUUUAAAGGGUCCGCAGGCGGACCGAUAAGUCAGAGGUGAAAGCCCACAGCUCAACUGUGGAACUGCCUUUGAUACUGUCGGUCUUGAAUGCGCUCGACGUAGGCGGAAUGUGCCGUGUAGCGGUGAAAUGCUUAGAUAUGGCACAGAACACCGAUCGCGAAGGCAGCUUACGAGAGCGAUAUUGACGCUGAGGGACGAAAGCGUGGGGAGCGAACAGGAUUAGAUACCCUGGUAGUCCACGCCGUAAACGAUCAUCACUCGUUAUUAGCGAUACACAGUUAGUAACCAAGCGAAAGCAUUAAGUGAUGCACCUGGGGAGUACGUCGGCAACGAUGAAACUCAAAUGAAUUGCCGG
rnacentral:rRNA from 1 species